GGGCGAAUGGUUUAGUGGUAUAAUACUCCCUUAGCAAGUUCCGCAUAUGGAUACUUGGGAGUGGUCCAGGGUUCGAUUCCCUGUUCGUCCA